UUUCCUUGGUGGGUUAUCCCUGGCUAGGAAUUACCCAUAGGAAAAAGAACCCAGGAUCUAGAAGUUUCACUGGAGAAUAUCAUGCAAAUCACGUAGUUCUCUGGGGUGUAAUUGAAUCAUCUUGGAUUUGAAAUACCCCUAACUCUGAAGCACUUAAGAAUGUCAUUCAGAGACCUUCUGUACUUUGGACUAAAAGGACAUACCAAGCUCAAGCUAAAAGGACAGCAGAAGCUGAGGAGCUACAGUCAGUAUAUUAUUUGGGUUGGGGUAUUGGAGAAAGACCACAGGAAGACACAGGAGGACAAUAUUGGGAGAGAGGAAGAUGCUGGAGAUUUGAUAAUCCAUCUCUGAGACUGGGACAGUGAACUCACCUGGGCUAUAUACAUCAGAAUCACAGAGAAUGCUGUUGAGAUAAGAAGUCGCAAAUGUAAAGUUGAGAAAAAAGGACUCUGAGAAUCACUGUUUUCCAGAGGAAGAAACUAGUGCACACGGACCAAGGCUUGCUGAAGUGCCACGUCAUGAGGAAAGGACAGACUGAACUGAAAUUCUGACUUCCAGUCAUGUGUUCUUUCAUGUCAAGGUGCAGUAGGCCUGACGUAUUAGAGGGGUACACUGAAGGGAUUUGAUCAACAGGAAGUUUGCUGCGAAAGGAAAGCAAGAGCAGUAUGACUUUCUGCUGGAGAAAAAGCAAAAUACAAUGCAGUGUUUCUCUCAGUUUGGAGGGAAAAAGAAUGAAUGAAAUAUAGAUAACUUUAAAAGAGCAUCAUAUAAGGCUGGUAUCACAUCAAUCCAUAGUGUUUAUUUUGUACAAGCUGGUGACAUUUAGAGGGAACUGAGAGUUCCAGCAGUUUUCAGUAGGUGGUCAGCUUGACAUUUCUGUAUAAUGUCUCACUGGGCUAAUAAAACCUGUCAAUUCCUGCUGCUUCCAUUUUCAUUUUAUUCUUUCUGUUCAUUUAAAGUAACAAUUUAGUAAAUCAUAGUAUAUAGGCAAGUGCUAAAGCCAAGUGUUUAUACAUACUAAAAUUUUUUAAGCCUGAAAUUUUUUACCUAACAGAUGGAAGAAUUGUGAGCAAUUUUGCUGGAACUCUGUAGCUUUAUUUUUUUUUUUAAUUUCAUUUGUUAACAUUUAAAUAUUCAGUUUAUGUCCAAUAAAACAAUCAUAUUUUAAAAUAAGCCCCACAGUUAUUAUCAAAACAGAUUCGUGUGGUUU